ACGUCUCAGUUCGGACUGUAGUCUGCAACCCGACUACACGAAGCUGGAAUCGCUAGUAAUCGCGAAUCAGAAUGUCGCGGUGAAUACGUUCCCGGGCCUUGUACACACCGCCCGUCACACCAUGAGAGUUGGCAAUACCCAACGUACGUGAUCUAACCCGCAAGGGAGGAAGCGUCCUAAGGUAGGGUCAGCGAUUGGGGUGAAGUCGUAACAAGGUACC
rnacentral:rRNA from 1 species